rnacentral:rRNA from 1 species
GAUGCUGUUCUAUAAUUGAUGGUCCACGAUUAAUUAAACUUAUUUUAUUAAUUUGUAUAUCGUCGUAGUUUGAAUGUUUUAUAAGAAUUUUAAUAUUCAAUAUUUAAAGUAUUAAAUAAAAUCAGAUCAAGGUGUAGUUUAUAGAUAAGUAGAAAUGGGUUACAAUUAAACUAUUAUUGAAUAUUUUUAUGAAAUUAAAAAUUGAAAUUGGAUUUGAAAGUAAUUUUAAGAAUUUUCUUAAUGUGACUAAAGCUCUAAAAUAUGCACAUAUUGCCCGUCGCUUUUGUUUUAAGAUGAAAUAAGUCGUAACAAAGUAGAUUUACUGGAAAGUGAAUCUAGAAG